rnacentral:rRNA from 1 species
UGCAAUGAGAGUUGUGCUAAGGUAGCGUGAUAAGUUGUCUUUUAAUUGGAGAAUGGAAUGAAGGGUUUGACGUGAAAUUUCUUUUUUUAUAAAAGGUACUAAAGUUUCCUUCUAAGUGAAAAGGCUUAGGUUUUUGAAAAAGACGAGAAGACCCUGUCGAACUUGAUUAAGAAUUACUGGUUAUAGAUAUUUAAAAGUUUUAUUGGGGCAAUAUUAACUUAAAAAACAGUUAAUUUAUUCAUAGAUCCUUUUUGAAAGAAAGAGGAAAAAGUUACCGCAGGGAUAACAGCGUUAUUUCUUCUAAGAGAUCUUAUUGAGGAAGAAGUUUGCGACCUCGAUGUUGGAUUAUA